rnacentral:rRNA from 1 species
GUAAAGCACUUUAAGCGAGGAGGAGGCUACUUUAGAUAAUACCUAGAGAUAGUGGACGUUACUCGCAGAAUAAGCACCGGCUAACUCUGUGCCAGCAGCCGCGGUAAUACAGAGGGUGCAAGCGUUAAUCGGAUUUACUGGGCGUAAAGCGCGCGUAGGCGGCUAAUUAAGUCAAAUGUGAAAUCCCCGAGCUUAACUUGGGAAUUGCAUUCGAUACUGGUUAGCUAGAGUGUGGGAGAGGAUGGUAGAAUUCCAGGUGUAGCGGUGAAAUGCGUAGAGAUCUGGAGGAAUACCGAUGGCGAAGGCAGCCAUCUGGCCUAACACUGACGCUGAGGUGCGAAAGCAUGGGGAGCAAACAGGAUUAGAUACCCUGGUAGUCCAUGCCGUAAACGAUGUCUACUAGCCGUUGGGGCCUUUGAGGCUUUAGUGGCGCAGCUAACGCGAUAAGUAGACCGCCUGGGGAGUACGGUCGCAAGACUAAAACUCAAAUGAAUUGACGGGGGCCCGCACAAGCGGUGGAGCAUGUGGUUUAAUUCGAUGCAACGCGAAGAACCUUACCUGGCCUUGACAUAGUAAGAACUUUCCAGAGAUGGAUUGGUGCCUUCGGGAACUUACAUACAGGUGCUGCAUGGCUGUCGUCAGCUCGUGUCGUGAGAUGUUGGGUUAAGUCCCGCAACGAGCGCAACCCUUUUCCUUAUUUGCCAGCGAGUAAUGUCGGGAACUUUAAGGAUACUGCCAGUGACAAACUGGAGGAAGGCGGGGACGACGUCAAGUCAUCAUGGCCCUUACGGCCAGGGCUACACACGUGCUACAAUGGUCGGUACAAAGGGUUGCUACACAGCGAUGUGAUGCUAAUCUCAAAAAGCCGAUCGUAGUCCGGAUUGGAGUCUGCAACUCGACUCCAUGAAGUCGGAAUCGCUAGUAAUCGCGGAUCAGAAUGCCGCGGUGAAUACGUUCCCGGGCCUUGUACACACCGCCCGUCACACCAUGGGAGUUUGUUGCACCAGAAGUAGCUAGCCUAACUGCAAAGAGGGCGG